rnacentral:rRNA from 1 species
AACGAACGCUGGCGGCAUGCCUAACACAUGCAAGUCGAACGAGACCUUCGGGUCUAGUGGCGCACGGGUGCGUAACGCGUGGGAACCUGCCCUUAGGUUCGGAAUACCUCCCCGAAAGGGGUGCUAAUACCGGAUAAUGUCUUCGGCCCAAAGAUUUAUCGCCUUUGGAUGGGCCCGCGUUGGAUUAGCUAGUUGGUAGGGUAAAAGCCUACCAAGGCGACGAUCCAUAGCUGGUCUGAGAGGAUGAUCAGCCACACUGGGACUGAGACACGGCCCAGACUCCUACGGGAGGCAGCAGUGGGGAAUAUUGGACAAUGGGCGAAAGCCUGAUCCAGCAAUGCCGCGUGAGUGAUGAAGGCCUUAGGGUUGUAAAGCUCUUUUACCCGGGAUGAUAAUGACAGUACCGGGAGAAUAAGCGCCGGCUAACUCCGUG